UACGUAGGGUGCGAGCGUUGUCCGGAAUUAUUGGGCGUAAAGGGCUCGUAGGCGGUUUGUCGCGUCGGGAGUGAAAACCAGGUGCUUAACACCUGGCUUGCUUUCGAUACGGGCAGACUAGAGGUAUUCAGGGGAGAACGGAAUUCCUGGUGUAGCGGUGAAAUGCGCAGAUAUCAGGAGGAACACCCGUAGCGAAGGCGGCACUCUGGGCCGGUACUGACGCUGAGGAGCGAAAGCGUGGGGAGCAAACAGG
rnacentral:rRNA from 1 species